GGGGAUGAUCGGUUUCGACACUGCCUGCGAGCCCACGAGAAGCGGGUCGAGGAUUCAGGGUUAUCUCGCUAACGCUCCCUGAAAAACAAUAAGUGCCAAUGCAAAGCGCACUGACUUCGCCCUCGCUGCCUAAGCGAGCCCGAUAGUCCGUCAGACCGUGGCUGUUCCCGACACGGACCCUGGCGUCAUCUAGGGGACUUGCUGCGCGCCGUCGUCUGAGCGGCGUGCGGGACUUUUCUCAGACUGGGCCUGUCGACCUAGAUGCCUGUGGCAAAGGUCGGGGCCGAGCAGAACGCAUUCACAGGCUACGCCCGUAGAAGGCGUGGAAUCCCAGUAGUGGACGGGGGUUCAAUUCCCCCCAUCUCCACCA
rnacentral:tmRNA from 1 species